UACGUAGGGUGCGAGCGUUGCCCGGAUUUAUUGGGCGUAAAGGGCGCGUAGGCGGCUCGGCACGUCCGUUGUGAAAUCGCCCGGCUCAACUGGGCGGGGUCAGCGGAUACGGCCGAGCUGGAGCAAGCUAGGGGGUAAUGGAAUUCCCGGUGUAGUGGUGGAAUGCGUAGAGAUCGGAAAGAACACCAACAGCGAAAGCACUCUGCUGGGCCGACACUGACACUGAGAGACGAAAGCUAGGGGAGCGAAUGGG
rnacentral:rRNA from 1 species